AAGGGUAUAGCUCAGUGGUAGAGAGCACACUCAGCAUGUAUGAGGCCCUGGGUUCAAUCCCUAGUACCUCCA
rnacentral:tRNA from 1 species